UCCAUGUCACCGUCAUAAAGUCAUGCUCUCUGGUGUCGACACAUGUCCAUAAACUAAAACACAACUUCUCAUUAAUGUUCUUUUUCUAAAUAAAAUAUUUCAUUAAUAUUUUCCCUUUGAAAAUGAAACAUCAGAACAAAGACGUUUCCUGUAAAUCGGAGAAACUUUAGAUCCUAGGUUACAAGGAGAAGCUUAACAAAAUCUAACAACAAUGAACAACUCAGAACAAAGAGAGAACAAAUUGGGGGAGGAAAAGAAGACAAAAGGGCACUACUACCCGCUCCGAUUGAACACUAGUAGAAUCCAAAUCCGCAACCGCCGUAGCCGGGUGUCCAAAACCAGCAGAACGGUUCGUUGACGGUGUAUCUUCAGUGUAUAACCACUGUCGGAGCUGUCCCGCGGCCACCAACGCUGGUUCCCAAGGGGGAGAUCUGAAUCCCAAGAACCCUAGCCGCCGUAGUUGAAGCUCGCCUUACCACGGGUCCGAGGAUCUACGCGUCUUCAAUCAAGCUCGCCUUCAAUCAAGCCGGUAAAAAGCGUCUUUCGCGCCGGAGGUUACAUAUCCCAACAAAAAUCAAACUCACAACAAUCGGGAUGAACCCCAAGACCCCGAUGACCAACUAGCAGGGUCCGACAGGGUCACCAGAGUCCCAGAGCUCUCUUAGGGAACCGCCGCACCAAUGGUUCCACCGACACACAGAGAGAGAAGCCAAACGCCUCCGAUAGACUGAGCCACAUCUGUUCUAUCAUGUAGAGCGAAGUCCGAAGGAAAAGGGAUGGUUGGAGACCUCCAUACGAACCUGCACCGGAACCCUGUCGCAAAGAUAAAACCAGAUUUGGGUGAGAAAGGUUGAGCACGUGGAUCUCACUGCCUCUCAAAGGCAAAAUUCCGUUUCAUUAAUGUUAUAUAAGUGUUGGCUUGAGGUUUUGAAAACACCCGUGAUAGUCUCUUUAGAAUUGGGCCAGUGGCAACAAUAACAGGCUAUUUAGAAUUGGGCCAUAGAAUAGAUCAAACGAAAAUCCAAAUUAGUUUAAUGAAUAAACCAAUUCACA
rnacentral:lncRNA from 1 species